UAUUAUUUCUAAUGUAGGAUGAUGUAACUGGGGUAGUAAUAGUAGGUCUUGAAACUCAAAGAAUUUGGCGGUGUUUUAGUCUUUUCAGGGGAAUCUGUCUCGUAAUUGAUAAUACACGAAUGGAAGUACUUAAUCUUGUUAUAAUAGUAUGUAUACCGCCGUCGUAAGAUUAUUUUUUGAGAAUANUAUUUUCUUAAUUUUAUAUUAAAUUAUAUGUCAGGUCAAGGUGCAGCUUAUGAUUAAGUGAAUGAUGGAUUACAAUAAUAUAAAUUAUGAUGGAUAAUUAUUUUAAGUUAAUUUGAAGGUGGACUUGAUUGUAAAUUUAUUUUAAUUUUUUAAUUGAUUUGAGCUCUAAAAUGUGUACAUAUCGCCCGUCGCUCUCGUUAUUAAGAUGAG
rnacentral:rRNA from 1 species